GCAUUUGUAAUCUCGUUCGCGGGGAAAGGAUAGAACUUGGGCUCGAGCAACCCAUCUUUAGGCCUAAUUUUGGACCUAGCCCACAAUUUCCAAGCCCAUAAUUCCUAGGCCCAUACCCCUUAACCUAAAACCCUACCAAAAAAAAGUAUAAUAUAAAAAAGGAGAAAAUCCUAAAAUGAAAAGAACGGACAAAAAAUACACAAAAAAAUCUGCGCAAAAAUAGACCCCCCCCUGCGCGUCAUCUUCUCCAACGACCCCUGCGCAGCAAAGAGACCCCCCGCCCAUUGUCUUCAACUCGACGUCCACACCCCUCAUCGUCGAACCUCUCACACCACUAACCUUACCCGCUGGCUGCAACUCCAUCCCAAACGACAACUCCUUCAGCCAUAGCUUCUUCCUCUUCUAACCUUGAACACCCCUGAGCGGAUCCCCACUAUUACACUCGCCCAGAAGUCAGCCGACCUGCACGCUCACAACACUGCCUGACCGUCGACCACCACGAGGCUGCCAUUUCCGGCGAGCUUCACCUUUACACACACAUAUACACCACGACGCACACAGCCAGACACACACACACAAAAAAGCUGCGCAGCAACGUCACAACAAAAACGUAGCUCAUCAUCUCCAUUUUUCUGCCAUCCAAAACAGCCCUGAGAUCUACGUAAGCUGGCAUUUUUUAGUCAGUAGUCUAUUGUUUCUUUGUGUAGUGAGGUCAUUUUAGUUCGAGGUGCCGAUGCGGGGUCCGUCGUUGAAUUUUGUCGUGGUUCCGGGGAGCUUCGAGUCUGGUUCGUAGAUUCCGUUCGAGUUUUCUUCCAGUCCGUAUGGUGUUGCUGAGUUUUGUUUCAUUUUGGAAGAGCGAUUUUUGUGUUGUACCCAUUCCGUGAAGAAAUUUUACUUUCUCAAUUUAUUGACAGAAUUCCCAAGUCAAAGGUUCACUCCCUUUAAUCUAUUAUUUUGUCUUGGAUAAAUGCUUUGUUUGGGUUAAUUUUGUUUAAAUGUUUCAUCGUUUUGAUUUAUUUUUCUUGAUUCAUAUCAAUCCCAUUAGCAACUAAAAACAAAAAAAAAAAACUUUCUUCAUAUGUGUCAUUUGCUUAGUAAAUAUGAGAAAAUCACGUCUUCGGUUUGUUAUAGACGUAUAUGCCUCAUUAAUCAAAAAUGGUUCAGUUUGUAGUCGUUUUCUUUAUUAUUAGUUAUAUUAGUGUUUAUUUCUUAGUUGAUGUGGUGGAAAUUGUUAAGUGUUAAUCCUGUGAGUUUAAGUGAGAAGGAACCAAAUUAAUAAAUGUGGAAUAACUGAUUGUACUAAUAAAGUAGACUGCUAGUAUAGAUAAUUAGGUUGUGUGGUGUUUUGAGUUGAGACAAUCAGUUAAUUUUUAGUAGUUCAUCUCAGAAAUUUACAGUGAUCAAAUUGUACACUUCAUCCACGUAGCAAUUUUCGUAAUGCAUGGCCCUCGCUUAAUUGACUUUUAAUCCUUAGAAAUCGAGGCGUGCCAUUUAGUUCAAUUUUCAUGACCCUCGCAAAGUUGCAAAUGUGUAGUUGUUUUAGGUUUGUUAUUUUAAUAAUACUUCCUUAAACUCGGGUGUGCAUUUAUGUGACCGAAUUCCAAAUCUCAACAAUGUUAAAAUAUGUCAAAGACCACGGGUGCAUUUAUGUGACGUGGUUCAAGACGUGUUUUAAUAACGUUGCAAUCUUCCUAAAAAUGAAUAAAAGCAGUUAAGGUUGAAAAUGCACAUAGGUUUGAACAUGUACUAAAAUCAGAUAAUUAAGCUGAAUAUAACAGUUGAGCGACCGUGCUAGAACCACGGAACUCGAGAGUGCCUAACACCUUCUCCCGAGUUAACAGAAUUCCUUACCUAGAUUUCUGGUUCGCGGACUGUUAAACAGAGUCAAUCUUUUCCUCGAUUUGGGAUUGGAACCGGUGACUUGGGAUACCAUAAAUCUCCCAAGUGGCGACUCUGAAUCUUUUAAUAAUAAAUCCCAUUUCGAUUGUCUCUUAAAUUGGAAAAACUCCCUUAUAUACUCCCUAAAGGAGGUGUGACAACUAAGUCCCAUGAUUUAACUAAAUAAGACACUUUGGCAUGUGACUAAUGAGUCAUUUAUUCAAGACCUCUAUGACUGCCACUUUUUAGCUUAUCCGUCCCCAACCAAUCAACCACCAAAAUCUUAGUUCAUUAUUAAUCCCCCAUUAACCAAUAAUUAUCCAAUUAUCUACAAAAUUAAGAAUUAUCUCAAAUUACUUAAAAUGCUACUCAUUUUAACACACCUUAUAUACCUUACUAUCAUGGUCAUGUAGUACCUUGUAUGCCACUAGUCUAUAAAUACCGGGUAUUAAUGCUCGGCCCGUAUAUUAUCCCAACAUGUCAAACUUGGACGAAAAUUCAUUUUCCUUGUCUUGCUUCCCCUCUCAUCUUUACGAAUUUACCCAUCACUUGUGAAAUAGCAUAAUCAUAAACUCCGAAUAAUAUUUUCCUUGGACUGAUUCAAUUACCUUACCACAAAUUCAACGUAAAAUACUACAGGGUGCAACAUCAUCGUAAUUUAAUACUACGAAGUGUAACAUCAUCGUAAUGUAAUACUGGAAGGCGUAACAUCAUCGUAAUAUAAUACUGCAGGAUGUAACAUCAUCGUAACAUAAUACUGCAGGAUGUAAUAUUAUCGUAAUAUAACACUGCGAGAUGUAAUAUCGGCAUAAUUUUGUGGGGCGUAACACUUUUUAUGGCUAUAUUUACGGAUAAGAGUGGUGGCCAGGUAGAGUUUGGAUUAAAGAAGAGGUGCCAGGAUAAGAUAGAGAGUUACACUAGGUUUUUGUCCUUUGUUUUUUUUUUAUACCUAGACCUCCAUCUUGCUUAGAUUGAGUAAUAAUAUUCCACUUAACAUAGUGAAUUUUAUCCUAGUUGUCGUAGUGCCUCAUAUAAAGUCACGUUGGAUAUUGUCGAUUUUUUAAGGGUGGAAGUGGGAAGUAGGAUAUAUUGCAUGAAGUGACUUAGGAGGGAAUUAAGAGUGGACUUGGAUAAUGUUGUUCUACCAGCAAUGAAUAGAAAGUUUGUUUUCCAUCCAUCUAACCUGGAAUUCAUGUUGUCAAUAUUGUACUAGAGAUCCGAAGCUUUUGGUUUCAGGGGAGUAUUGGGAAUCCUAAGUACUUCUGAAUGCUGUUACUUGUAUUGAUAUUGAGAAUAUUAGCAAGAUGGUUUCGGAUAAGAGACUUAUAUUUUUUCGAGAAGAUUAUUUUGGACUUGUUAAAGUUAACUUAUUGACACAAAAGUUGGCUAAAGAAUACCAGACAUUGAUUUAUGGUUUGAAUUGAAUUAACAUUGGAAUUUGCUUCUAGGGUGAGGUCAUCUGCAUUAAAAAGAUGAGAGAGGGGUGGCCCUGAUUGACUAAGUUGAAUAGGGUCCCAUAGGCCGAUGUUGACUUGGUGGCAAAUGUAUUUAGAGAGAAGAUAUAUACAUAGUAUGAAAAGGUAAGGGGACAUUGGAUCUCCUUGUCUAAUGCCUCUAGUUGGGUUGAAAAACUCUAUCUUAGAGCCAUUGAAUAGGAUUGCAAUUCCGGAGGUACUGACAUAUCUCAUAAUAAGCUUGGUUAUACGCAGGGGAAUUUUGAUAAAAAUGAAGGGCUCGAUAGAUAAAGGACCAUUCUAGUCUAUCAAAUGUUUUUUACAGAUUAGUUUUUAAGAGGAGUUUUCCCCGAAGCCCGUAAGUUUUUGGAAAUGGUUCAUUAUUUCCUGAAUGAUGAUGACAUUAUCACUAGUGCGUCUUUCUUUUAGGAAGCUAGAUGUAACACCCAGUAUAUUUGGACUAGGUGUGGAUACGUUAAAUUGGUAUUAAUCUGAUAUUUUAGACAUAUAAAGUCCUAGCGGGAUGAGUAUGGGUGAAAAUAGUUAUUUUAGAAUCAAGAUGGAGAAUGAGGUGCAUAAGAUUCGAUAAAAUGUAUGAAGUUUACGAAAGGUCAGUUUUGUAGAAGGUUUAGUGAAACACGUUUAAGGUAUUUGGGAAAAUACAAAACACGAAAUAUGCGCGCCCCGAGCGCGACCGCGCACCUAUGGCAGUGUUACUGCCAUUUUGCACGGUCAGUCCUACAGGUGCGUGAGGGCGCGCUUGGGGGGUCAUUUUAAAGCCCUACUUCGUCCCCCACAGCCCCAAAACAUAAAAACUUGCUCUAGAAAGGGAAACUCUCAAAACCUAGCUCCUCAAGGGUCCCUCCACCACCCAAGGUAAGUUCUAAUGGUGAUCCUAAAUUAAUUUUAAUUUCCCAACAUCUUAUUAACAUGGGUAAAUCCUCCAUAUCAUUAGAUAUUCGAUUGAGACAUUUUUGUUAAGAGAAGGAACCCUAGAACUCGAAUUCAAAUGGAUUGAACUUCAAAAAGGUAAUAUCUUCACCCUUUAAUUGAUUCUAGCAUUGGAUUAAUGAUUAUAGACUCUAGUUCAUGAGAUAUGAGUUGACGAGUUUAAUAGAAAAGCAUGAACGAUUAUAGAUUUGGAGUAUUGAUUAUUGAUUAUUGGUUAAAGGUGUUGUUUACCUUAUGGGUGAUAAAGAAUGAUGUUGAUUAUAACCAUUUGAGACUUUAAAAUUUAUCUACGAGCAAGAGAUGGGUUAUUGGGUGUAGAGUUAUCAUUAAUAAGGACUAAGAAGCUUUAUUCUCACCAAGUGUUUGAGAAAUGCCUGAGUAAAAAAAAACAUGAGUAUUAUUGCUAAUAUGAAAUCCAUUUGACUUGUAUUGAUAUAGAUUAAAGUUGAAAGGAUUGGCGAAUGUUGUAUUACGCUCAAGAGCAAGAAGUUAAGGUAUGUGAGGCUAACUCUCUAUGUUUGGGAACAUUAAUGAUUCUUCCUACACUACGUUUUUACGACGUUACUAAUAGUCUCAGAAAUAUAGUUUAGCCGUUCCUUGAAUAGUUGUAGAAUUUCUAUUCAUUAGCUUCAUAACUCGUUCAUGACUUUCAUUCUAAACGUUGUGAGCUCAGUGCGUAUUCAAUAUAGACUUGGGUUUGAUGCCCCCGAUUCGUAGUAUAGAUUACUCAGUAUUUCAUAUACAGUUGAAGUUUCAGUGUUCAUAAUCAGUUCAAGAAUACAUGUCUCAUUCUAGUCCUAUUAUAUAUUCCAGUAUUAUGUAACUUAGUGUGAUCCAGUAUUCCAGUAUCAUGUAACUUAGUGUGAUUCAGUAUUUCACUAUCAUGUAUUGCAUUAUGAUUCUCAGUUCCUGAUUUUAAUUUCCUGAAUGUUGAACACCUGUAUUUGGGCCUGAGGCCGUAGUUUAUGCUUUAUGCAUGUUUGGUCCUGAGGCCGUAGUUUAUGCUUUAUGCAUGCUUGGGCAUGAGGCCCUAGUGUAUGCUUUAUGAAUUUUUGGGCUUAAGGUCAUAGUUAUGUUACGUAUACUUGGGCCUGAGGCCGUAGCUUGUGCACAUAUAUAUAGGGCUCGAGGCCGUAGCUUAUUCAGAUAAAUAGGUUGUUCAUCAUUCAGAAGAGGGAGUAUUCAUAUCCUUACUUCCUUUGUUCAGUUCAGUUAUUAGUUAUGAGUUAUCAGUUAUCAUUUCAGUUAUCAAUUAUCAAUUCUCAAUUAUCAGCUUAGUUUCAGUUUUAACAUUUAUAAUUCUUUCUUUUAGUUGCUUUAUAUACCAGUGCAAUUCAAAUGUACUGACUCCCUUUUUGCCCAGGGCCUACAUCUCACGAUGCAGGUAAUGAUUUACAGGUUGAUGAUUCAGAGCGCUAGGAUUCUCGUACCAGCUAUUUGGUGAU
rnacentral:lncRNA from 1 species